rnacentral:rRNA from 1 species
CCUACGGGUGGCAGCAGUGGGGGAUAUUGUACAAUGGGGGGAACCCUGAUGCAGCGACGCCGCGUGGGGGAAGAAGCUCCUCUGCGCGUUAAGCCCUGUCAGCAGGGGAGAAAAGGACGGUACCUGUAGAAGAAGCCCCGGCGAAAUACGUGCCGCCAGCGGCGGUAAUACGGAGGGGGCAAGCGUUAUCCGGAUUUUCUGGGUGUAAAGGGGGCGCAGUCGGCUAUGCAAGCCAGGAGUGAAAGCCCGAGGCCCAACCCCGGGACUGCUCUUGGAACUGCGUGGCUGGAGUGCAGGAGGGGCAGGCGGAAUGCCUGGUGUAGCGGUGAAAUGCUUAGAUAUCAGGAGGAACACCGGUUGCGAAGGCGGCCUGCUGGACUGCAACUGACGUUGAGGCACGAAAGCGUGGGGAGCGAACAGGAUUAGAUACCCGUGUAGUC